CAGUGACAUGCUGAUCAUGGGUGGAUUUUGGCUCGUCACAUUUAUCACACACAGCCGUCCCUGCAAGCCUACGCCAGCUUUCCUGUCACCGUCACUGGCGGCAGCUGGCUCACUCCGGAAACAGUUCUGCUGGGACGGCAACGCCCUCACAUGUUCCUGAGAAAGAAGGAGGGACCCGAGAGUUUACAGAAGCCUUUCACGGUCGUAGGUGAUGGAGCAGCCCACGGAUCUCCGCAGUCAGGAAGGCUCAUUUCACCUUUAGAGAAGAAUGAGAUGGCAGUCCCAUUCUUGGGCUCUCUGGUGGCAGGCUACAGGUGUGUACUGACAGUGAUGUAUUUGGAAAUUACUCUGAUUUGGAAAUUACCCUGAUUCAGGAGUGCACAAAGCUGGGAGUGGGGAUGCCUGUUGCAAAUCCUGCCUUUGGCCAUGGAGAGCUUGCUGUUUGGAGCUGUACAGAAUGCCCAGCUACGGG
rnacentral:lncRNA from 9 species